AGACCAAAUCACUGAUAACCCACAAUAUGCUACCGCAGUUUCUUGGCACCAGUAUCGUUGCUAAGCUGUUUGUAUUAUUUCAGUAAAAAUAUAUGAUAAAAAGGUAAUAAAGAGUGAGGAAAAAGAACGUUUUGAUUCGUUGAGGCAAAUCUUGUACUCAGUAGCUUAUGCGGUACUAUAACACUGUAAUCAUAGGUAUUUUUUAUUACAUACUAUGUCGACAAAAUAACUAUUGCUCCAAGUCUUAUCUUAAUAGAGGGUUUAUUUAUUUUAGCUAUAUGUUGUUGUUUUUCUAGAGAAAGAUGAUACCACUUAAUGCGCAUGCUAAGUGUGGCUAGCUUGUUUACUUCUUUUUUAGGCAACUAUGUAUUAACUAAACAAAGUGUAGACACCGAACCUAACAAAUUGGAAUAAAGACAAAUGGUAAAAGAACCAAAGAUCCAAUAUUUUUUUUUGCGGGUAUAAACUUGUAUUACUCAACCAUACAAUCCACCUUACAAAGAUCGACGACUUCUGGGGGGCCGGAGCCCAGCCAGACUACAGUUCUAUGUUCCCUACUAGCAAAUUUAGCUAAGAAAUCGCUAACAAGAUUUUGACUAUGCUUGACAUGAGCAAUACAAGUCAUAUGAAGAGAUCGAAAGUGUUUAAUCUCCACCACCAAAUAAGCAUAGACAGACCGGUCUGUUUCUCUUUCAUUCACCAUGUUUACCGCUGAAAGCGACUCCAUCUCCAACCAAAGAUCCAAUAUAAACUAAGAGUUAAAUUAAUGUUCUUCAAGAUCGACAUUUCAACUGUUUACAAUGUUUUUUGUGAAACUACGAGAGACCAAACGUAAGUUAGAUUAAUCUUGAAGGUUUUUAAAAAGGUUGUGUGAGAUGCCCAUCUCAAAGGUGAUAACUUAAUAUCAUUGAUACUCAUGUGAUCUCGAGCUCCAAUGAUCCUAGAUGAACAGUAACAUAAACAUUGAUGUUUUGUCUACGUGCAUGCAUUUUUUUAUGAUUUUGUGAAGGUGUGGGCAAAAGAACUUAUCACCUCCACAAAUGUUAUCUUUUUUUUUGCAGGGGUCCACAAAUGUAAUCAUCUACUGUAACUUCUACUCCAUCAGUUCCAAAUUACUGGUCGCACAAAUGGAUGUAUCUAGAACUAAAAUACAUCUAGAUACAUCCAUACCUGCGAUAAGUAAUUCGGAACGGAGGAAGUAAGUGACAAGCCAGGUGAAAAUUUUGACCAUGGUCUUGUUUUUUUUAUCAAUCAAAACGGUCUAAUUCAUCGUAGUGAGCGUGGCUCCAAGAAAUGUUCUUUUCUUUAGGCUAGAACUAGAACGACGGCACGUUGUGUUGCCUUGCUGCAAGAGGGCCGACUCGUUUGCUAUUCGAGUUUUUCUUCUUUUUUUUUGAGAGAGAAUGCUAUUCGAGCUUCUUUUUUUUUGAGCGGUGAAUGCUAUUCGAGCUUUUUUUUUGAGAAAAAAAUGCUAUUCGAGCUGGGAGCCCAAAAAUAUCACACGAAGGUCAGUCGCCACAGCCCAGCCCAGCCCACGGAAGGUAUAGCCUCCCCGUCCGCACACCGCACUCCCCACCACCAUUUCCUGCUUCUCCGCUAGAACCCUAGCCGCCGCGCCGCCCCAAGAACCGGGAAAGGGAAGCGACGAUCCGGUGUGCCCCUCCUCAUCCUCGAAUCCCGCCACCUCUCGUCUCCAGCUUUAUCUUCGCCGGGGCAAGGAGGAAAUCUCGUCGGAUGGGGAAGGCGAAGCGGGCGUCCAUCUUCAUCAGGCUCGUGUCGGCCGCCGGCACGGGGUUCUUCUACGUGAAGCGCAAGAACCCUCGCCGGAUCACGGAGAAGCUCGAGUUCAGGAAGUACGACCCCCGCGUCAACAAGCACGUCCUCUUCACGGAGGCCAAGAUGAAGUGAGCGCGCGCGUCUUCGCCGGAAGAUGGAAUAACGCCGUCGAGCCCUGUAACGAACCUGAGAGAGAGAGAGAGACAUCUGUUCUUGUUCCUUGUUAUUUUUUCCUUGCCUGUACUGUCGAUGGACUGAGCUGCGGCGCGGUGCAGCUCAUCUGUUUCUUCUUGCCGCUAAUCCAAGUCCGUUGCAUCCCCAUCCAUGAAGCUGCUGGUCCAGGUCCCUGUUGCUGCACUGUUGCUGUGUUCUCUCCCUCCCUGACAUCAUUUCGACAGAUUUGACA